rnacentral:lncRNA from 1 species
UACACAUGCCUCCUGCUGAAGAAUUCUUUCCUUUUUUAUCAGGUUCGCAAGUUACUGGAAAAUACAUAACUUUAGCAUUUUAAUUGAUUAUCUGUUCCAGGAUGGCAUUAAGAUUUUUUUAUGUGUAAACAUCAAAGGAAAAACAUCACUAACUUUAUACUCUUGAUAUGCAUUAGGCCCUAAUGCAUGCCCAGCAAGUGGUCAAAGAAGAGGUUUAUGAGUUACAACCAGUACUCUCACAAAAACCAAGAUACAUCUUGUAAAACUACUACUUCAUGCUAAUAUGAUCUU